AUGUUAUUCUCUCUUUGACAUUCAACGAGUAAGUUAAUUUUACGGAAGUUUGUAAAAUUCUUCACACGUCUACUCGAUUUGCCUCGCCUCCCCUCUUCGCUUCUCCUUUAUCGCCAUCUUCGCAACGAACAAAGUGACAAAAACACAAAAAAAAAAAGAGAAGAACAAUAACAAACGAAAGAAUUUCAUCAUCAACGACUAUCUUCUAUCUCGCUUCAGCGAAAUAGAUAAAUAAUUUGAAAAAUAUGAAGUAAUAAAAUUCGAAACGGCAUUAUUUUUGAGACAAGAAUAAUCGGCAGUGUUUUGGUUGAACUUUUUUCGAAAUUCGUAGGGAUAUUAUUUGCUAACGUGGCCUUUAAAAUUCGGUCAACCGUAUCAAAUCGAUGACUAUAUCUGUUCGUUCGAGGGACUUGGUGACUUAACAAUGGACUCCCUGGCCAUCUUCAUUUUCCUGUGGGCCGUUCUGGCCCUCUUCUCCGUGUGGCUGAUCAAGCUGCUCUACCACAAGUAUCUCAACAAGGACAAGUCGGCCAGUGCGGCCAACAGUCGCCAGACGAGCGUGGCCCCCACAUCCGGAUCACCCACGUCCGUCGCCGGCAAGACGGAGAAGCGUCUCUCGGAGCCGCGCGAUCUCCUGGCCACCAAGAGCAAGGUGGAAGGCUUGGACUUAUCCAAGCCUCUGGGCGGCGCAUCUGGAGGUCGAGGACGCUCAUCAGCCUCGCCCUUGAAUACCGCUGGUGCAGCUGCCGGCGGUCCACGUCGUCGGGUGGUGCGUCAGAGUUCCACUGGGCCAGAGAAUCGCAAGAAGCGCUAUGUCCCACCGCCGUCAAAUGUCGUGGGUCCAGAAACGAGCUCCGUCACCUGGACCAGCCAGGUGUUCCGCUGGCUUUAUAGCGACCUGGUCAUCGUCAACGAGCUGCUCAUGUCCUGGGUAAUCGCCAUCAACGACACGCUGCGCAAGUCUGUGGAGGAGCAUGGAGUGGCCGUUGAAGUGGUUCGAGUGCUACCCGACAGUCCUGCCCCCGGAUUGAAUAAUAUAUUUUGUAAUUGCGAUGAAAACAAUCCCGCUGAUAUGCUCAUCACCUUUGACUGCGAUGCAAUGCCGGUGCUGCAGGUGAAGACCUUCCGCCAGAAGUCGGGCAAGGUGGAGACCUCCCACUACAAGGUCACCGUGUCUAGGUUCCGCGCCCGUAUGGCCAUUCCCAUGAACUACAACAGCCUCAAGGGUGAGAUGCGAGUCGAGGGCUAUCCGGAUGUUCGCAUCGCAAUGAACAGCGUGGGUGCCAUCAAGGCAAUGGAUCAGGACGAACAGCAACUGCAGACGGUGAUCAGCGACAUCCUGACGACGGCUUUGCGCGACACCAUCUAUCCGGUGGACUUCUCCAUCUACUCCACCUGUCCGAGGGCCGAGGUGGAGCCCCUGGACCUGCCCCACAACAUGGAGCACCACAUGGGUGGCGUGGGAUUGAGGGACUCCCAACACAUGGUUUCCGGCCGUCGGCUGCUGGUGAAGAUCGUCAAGGGCGAUGGAAUUAGGGAUGCCCAGAAUCCCUACGUGGUCAUCGAGAUGGACGAGCCGGCCCAGAAGAACCAGACGGGCACUCAGCGCGGCAGCAAACCCUUCUGGGAUGAGCACUUCCUCUUUGAACUCUCCCCUCAAUCAGCCGAGAUCCUAUUCGAGGUGUAUGACCAUCCGGUGAUUGCCUCAGAUCCGCCCAAGUUCCUGGGUCUCGGCCUGGUUGGAAUCGAUGAGCUGGCCGUUGGACCCGCAUCCACUCAGCUGCUGCAGCUGCAACCGCGCCCCUAUGAGACGCAGCCCGUUUCGGGAGCCAUCACCGUGGACUUUGUGUUCAUCGAGGGUGCCGAAAUCCCGGCGGGCGCCCGUCCACAGCGUCUCAAGGAGGCACUGCGUCUCAGCACACCGGCCAUUAACGAACACAUCCGGAAUGGAGCGGAUUUGGCGGAUGCAGCCGUAAGAGCUCUGCAGGAUGGAGCGCUCUCGAGCAGCGGAAGUGGCGGACAACCCAGCAAGAGCACUUUGAUCAUCCACAGCGUGCAGCGGAAUUCGAGCAGCCCGAAUGCAUUUAAGGUCGAGUUGAACAGAGAUGGCCAAAUCGAGGUGACCGAUACGGCGACGGAAUUGGAUCAGGCAGUGGCCCAGGCUUUCGAACGGGCAGCCAACGAGGCACAAACCGAGCUCGAGCUGGAGCUGGCCAAGGAGGAGAAGGCCAGCCAGCUGGGUGAGCCUCUCAUCGAUUCAGGUAACGGCACCGUCAACGAGGACAGCACCGCGGAGUUUGGACAGCCCAAUGCCGCCUCAUCGCCCAAUGGCAGUAGUUACCACAACAACUACAGCCUCAAUGGCAAUGGUAACUCCAAUGGCGCCGGUUCGGGUGGAUAUAACAGUCUGCCGCGGAACGGUGGUGCCCAGCAGCUGGCUCAGCACUCCGGAUUAUUGGAGGGCCAUGACGUGGUCGACGAUCGCGGGCGCAGCAAAAAACGUAAUUUCUUUGGCACCCUGAAGAAGCGGCUCAGCCGCUCCAAGACACGCACCCUCUCGGCCGAUCAACCUAAUAAUAACAGUCAUAAGUCACUAUCAGCCACCAACUCGAAUACAACAACAGCCACCGGAUUCCCUCGAACAGCCACCGGAACCCUCAAUGGACCACGCAUGGGCAUUGGUCACUCCAUCACCGACCACUCACGCCGCUCCUCAAUUUCAGAAUCCUCGGCCAUCUCAGGCUUUUCCUCGGCUAGCAAUAAAACCUACGUGCACGAGGCCUCCACCCUGGUGCUGGAGACCAUUGAGAAUGGCAUAAAGCGCCACUUCAUUGUGCCUUUGGCCAUCGCCCAGAGACCGCGCUGGCGUCGCAAGGGCACCAAGCUGCACAUCUACAACGAUCACACCUUCAUCGCCAAGCAUUUGAGCGGAAGCGGUCUGCAGUGCUCCAUCUGCAUGAAGUCCAUCCCGCGGAGGCCCGGAAAGCAGGGCUACGAGUGCCGCGACUGCCAGCUGAUUUGUCACAAGCAGUGCCACAUACGGGCACCACAAGCAUGUCCCAAUCCCACGGUGCUCUCCAUGGAACUGAUGGCCAGUGAGGAGUAGAAAGGUCUCAGCCACAUCACAGCAUCUUUAAAGCCAGUUAAAUACCAUUCUUAAGUGCUCCCCAAGCGAUGUGCGAGUUCAUUCUGACGCCAUAUAUAUAUAUUUCAAAAGAACAUACACCAUCCUCCUUCGAAUUGAUCAAACAAAAAAUAGAAAAACUCCAGGGUUCUAGAUCCGUUCUGCUGCAGUUUUGAGUGGUUCGCGCAUUUUCCAGUUGACCCUUUGGCAGCUGGAAAAUCGGGAACUAAACUCAAUUCAGCGGCGGCAGACCGCAGCAUACGGAAGCUGUGAAUGUGGGGAAUACCCUGGAAACCAGCCGAGAAACCUUAAUCGAAAUAAUACCCUAGUUACGUAGAAGUGAAGGAGCUGCGCAAACCAUCUUCUUCUGCUAUGGAAAUCCUCGAUACAUUACGUUAUUUAUUUAUACACUCACGCGAACACAACACACACAUGUGCAAUAAGUUCUUUGGAUUCGUUUUUAACCCAUUUCUCCGUGUCAACGUGCUCGAGCCCUUUGAUAUUUUGUAUUUUCUACAAACACGAAUAAUAAUUGUACAAAAUAAAAGUGAAUUAGGGUUUUUUAAAUUAAACAACAAA
rnacentral:misc_RNA from 1 species